rnacentral:rRNA from 1 species
UACAGAGGUCCCAAGCGUUGCUCGGAAUCACUGGGCGUAAAGGGUGCGUAGGCGGGUCUUUAAGUCAGGGGGUGAAAUCCUGGAGCUCAACUCCAGAACUGCCUUUGAUACUGAAGAUCUUGAGUUCGGGAGAGGUGAGUGGAACUGCGAGUGUAGAGGUGAAAUUCGUAGAUAUUCGCAAGAACACCAGUGGCGAAGGCGGCUCACUGGCCCGGUACUGACGCUGAGGCACGAAAGCGUGGGGAGCAAACAGG